rnacentral:rRNA from 1 species
UGAAAUGCGAUAAGUAAUGUGAAUUGCAGAAUCUCGUGAAUCUUUGAAUCUUUGAACACACAUUGC